UUUCCAUCUACUUUCUUGCAAUUAAAAAAUAAGUUGGUGAAACCUAUUUUUAUAAUUUUGAAUCGUAUAUGAUAUAUCGUAUCACCAUAUAAUGCAUAUGGUUUGAGCAGAGAGCUAAAGAGAGAGAGAGAUGAUCCCCAUGCCUUCUCCAGAGACUCAUGAUCAUUUCAUUCUCGAUCGAUCAAAGGUUGAAGAAGAAGUGAAGGAUAGAUCAACAGCAUAUACAUGAUGGCAAAUGAUAUGGUGAAAAUCAGAGAAAAUUUUCAAUCUGGAUUUACUAGUUGAUGGUAUUGGGUUUGAGUUUGAUCGAAUAUAGAUGGACAUCUCUUUUCUUAAGGUUGCUUUGAAGAAAAGGAUGGGAGAUGCCCAUGCCUUGAGUCUCGAGGCAAGUAAACGAUCACCAGUUCCCCCUUUCAAAACUUCAAUCUCUUUGUUAAACACGAGUACUAUUGCAUAACCCAUCUUUUGAUUUUUAUACAAAAGCUCACGCUUUUCUUUCAUCGUUUACGUAUGAAUUGAAGUGAUGCAGUUCAAUUCGAUUGUUUUAUGAAAUGUAACUUCUCAUUCAAUAUUUGAUGUAGUGAAUAGGGAAUCCCAAAAAGAUAAAAAGAAAACCAUAUAUGAAAAGAAAAAAUA